GGGGGUGUAGUUCAAUGGUAGAACACAUACUUAGCAUACCUGAAGCCCUGGACUCAAUACCAAGCACCUCCC
rnacentral:tRNA from 1 species